CCUUGCUCUGAGACUGUGCACAGAAAGUCUUCUUACUCUGAGUCCGCAGUUCGGUUGCUAAUGCAAAUGAUUUUCUGGGUGGACGGUUGCUCUCUACAGAUGCAUACUGAUACAGCCUUUUGGGGAACGUCUGUGGUGGGCUGGCCACUUGCCUACAGAGAGUGCCCCUGGUCCCAGGGCUCUGGCAGGGAAUUAACCAACUCGUCAGUCCCACCUCACCUGCGUGAGAGCGCAGAGCUAGCCCACACCACCUGGCUGCAGUAAGCACUGCUGUUCGCGGCUGAGAAAUAGCACCCAGUCUUCCAAGAUAUAUUUGAAUGAACUUAAAUACAUCCUCAAAAGACACGCUGUUUUGCAAG